UACGUAGGGUGCAAGCGUUGUCCGGAAUUAUUGGGCGUAAAGAGCUUGUAGGCGGUUUGUCGCGUCUGCUGUGAAAUUUCGGGGCUCAACCCCGAACUUGCAGUGGGUACGGGCAGACUAGAGUGUGGUAGGGGAGACUGGAAUUCCUGGUGUAGCGGUGAAAUGCGCAGAUAUCAGGAGGAACACCGGUGGCGAAGGCGGCUCUCUGGACCGAUACUGACGCUGAGGCGCGAAAGCGUGGGGAGCAAACAGG
rnacentral:rRNA from 1 species